rnacentral:tRNA from 1 species
GGACGCAUAGCUCAGUUGGUUAGAGCGCACGGUUCACAUCCGUGAGGUCGCAGGUUCGAGUCCUGCUGCGUCCA